rnacentral:rRNA from 1 species
UCGCCAGACUCCUACGGGAGGCAGCAGUGAGGAAUAUUGGUCAAUGGCCGAGAGGCUGAACCAGCCAAGUCGCGUGAGGGAAGACGGUCCUACGGGUUGUAAACCUCUUUUGUCGGGGAGCAAAGCGAGUCACGUGUGACUCAUUGAGAGUACCCGAAGAAAAAGCAUCGGCUAACUCCGUGCCAGCAGCCGCGGUAAUACGGAGGAUGCGAGCGUUAUCCGGAUUUAUUGGGUUUAAAGGGUGCGCAGGCGGAGGUGCAAGUCAGCGGUCAAAUUGCGGGGCUCAACCCCGUACUGCCGUUGAAACUGGCGAACUCGAGAGGGAGAGAAGUAGGCGGAAUGCGCAGUGUAGCGGUGAAAUGCAUAGAUAUUGCGCAGAACUCCGAUUGCGAAGGCAGCCUACCGGCUCCUGUCUGACGCUGAGGCACGAAAGCGUGGGUAUCGAACAGGAUUAGAUACCCUAGUA